rnacentral:rRNA from 1 species
AAAUUGAAGAGUUUGAUCAUGGCUCAGAUUGAACGCUGGCGGCAGGCCUAACACAUGCAAGUCGAACGGUAACAGGAAGCAGCUUGCUGCUUUGCUGACGAGUGGCGGACGGGUGAGUAAUGUCUGGGAAACUGCCUGAUGAAGGGGGAUAACUACUGGAAACGGUGGCUAAUACCGCAUAACGUCGCAAGACCAAAGAGGGGGACCUUCGGGCCUCUUGCCAUCAGAUGUGCCCAGAUGGGAUUAGCU